GUCAUAUGCUUGUCUCAAAGAUUAAGCCAUGCAUGUCUCAGUACAAGCCAAAUUAAGGUGAAACCGCGAAAGGCUCAUUAAAUCAGUUAUGGUUCCUUAGAUCGUACCCACAAUUACUUGGAUAACUGUGGUAAUUCUAGAGCUAAUACAUGCAAACAGAGCUCCGACCGGAGACGGAAGGAGUGCUUUUAUUAGAUCAAAACCAAUCGGUGGCGGGUUCGCGCUCGUUAUCGUACAACUUGGUGACUCUGAAUAACUUUACGCUGAUCGCACGGUCAUCGCACCGGCGACGCAUCUUUCAAAUGUCUGCCUUAUCAACUGUCGAUGGUAGGUUCUGCGCCUACCAUGGUUGUAACGGGUAACGGGGAAUCAGGGUUCGAUUCCGGAGAGGGAGCCUGAGAAACGGCUACCACAUCCAAGGAAGGCAGCAGGCGCGCAAAUUACCCACUCCCGGCACGGGGAGGUAGUGACGAAAAAUAACGAUACGGGACUCAUCCGAGGCCCCGUAAUCGGAAUGAGUACACUCUAAACCCUUUAACGAGGAUCAAUUGGAGGGCAAGUCUGGUGCCAGCAGCCGCGGUAAUUCCAGCUCCAAUAGCGUAUAUUAAAGUU
rnacentral:rRNA from 5 species